AGAGAUCAAACCUGGGGAUAAGUAUUUUGGUCUCUGGAGAGGCAAAAACCAUGGUGGGACAGGGAUAGUUCUUCCAUCAAGUUUCACCAAGGCCUAGAUUGAUGAAAUACUCAAGACCAUCCAACUUUUGUGUGUGUGUGUGUGUGUGUGUGUGUGAGUGUGUGUGUCUUUUUCCAGGGCCGAACCCACGGUAUAUGGGGGUUCCCAGGCUAGGGCGGCCCAAGAAAUGGCAAAAGGACCAAAAAAAAAAAAAAAAAGGAAUGAAACCACAUGGAAUAUUCAAAGAACAGCAAAAAGUUCAAUCUAUGUAAAUAAAAACAAUACAACCAAAUGCUAAUAAAAUCAAAUUAUAAGCUACUUCCUCAUUCUGCUUUCUUAAAUAAUCAAUACUAUUUAUUAAGCUUGAGAAACUUUCUAAAGAAAAUACAGAGCCUGUUCCUUCACUGAUAGAAACAUACAUUUAAAAAAAUCACAUAUAUGAGUACUAUAAAAAUGGAGUUCCCAUAGUGGUGUGGUGUAGCAGAAACGAAUCCAACUAGGAACCAUGAGGUUUGGGUUCGAUCCCUGGCCUUGCUCAGUGGGUUGAGGAUCCGGUGUUGCCAUGAGCUGUGGUGUAGGUCGCAGACGAGGCUCGGAUCUAGCGUGGCUGUGGCAUAGGCCAGUGGCUACAGCUCUGAUUCGACCCCUAGCCUGGGAACCUCCAUAUGCCACGGGUUUGGCCCUAAAGGGAGAAAAAGACCAAAAAAAGGGCGAGGGGAGUUCCUAUCGUGGCCCUGUGGAAAAGAAUCUGACUAGUAUCCAUGAGGUCACAGGUUCGAUCUCUGGUCUCCAUCCUUGGGUUAAGGAUCCUGCAUUGUUGUGAGCUGAGGUGCAGGUUGCAGAAGUGGCUCGGAUCUGGUGUUACCGUGGUUGUGGCAUAGGCCAGCAGCUGUAACUCUGAUUCAACCCCUAGCCUGAGAACUUCAACAAGCCAUGGGCACACACCCCCCAACCCCCGCCAAAAAAAACAAACCGUGGGCAUUCCCAUCAUGGCUCAGCAGUAACCAACCUGACUAGUAUCCAUGAGGAUGCAGGUUCUAUCCCUGGCCUUACUCAGUGGGUCAGGGAUCCUGGCGUUGCAGUGAGCUGUGUCACAGACUCAGCUCCAAUCUGGAGUCACUGUGGCUGUGGUGUAGGGCAGCGGCUGCAGCUCCAUUUGACCUCCUAGCCUGGGAACUUCCAUAUGUUGCAUAUGUGUGGCCCUGAAAAAAAUAAAGGAAAACAAAAAACAAACAAAAAUGUGAGAAAGGAAUCUUUUGUGAAGACUCUAAAAAAGAACGUUUUAUUAACUUCCCUUCCUUUUCUUCAGCUUGAAACUAAACAAUUUCCCAACAGUGAGGCUGAAUAUAAAGAGCUUCACUAAAAUGAGCUGUAAAAACACUAGUGGAACUUCCUCUACUUGAGUCGUACAGCUGUGUGAUCAUUUACAGAAGUUAAAUCUUAUAACCAAAUAGUGUACAUCAUCUAUGGUAUGACAGUCUUAAUUUUAACCCCAAGUCCUAUAAGGAAGGUAGUGCAAAAUGGUUUACAGUUCCAAAGACCUAACUUCAUGUCUUUCUUAUAUUUGCUCUUCCCAAGAAUCCAAAGUAUUAAUAUCAAAGCCAGACAAGCUGAAAGCCUAGGAUGCUCAGCAUAACACAAAUACAAUCAGCUACAACAUGCAAGCUGGAGUGAGCAAAGUAACCUGCAGAUCAGGUUACACUGUGACUGCUGCACUAUAACAGAGAAAGGGGGGGUAAAAAACACCUGCCUUUAAGAUGUCUUUAAUUAUUAAUAAAGUACAAAGGUCACAUAAGUUUUCUCCAUCUUUAAAAUAACCAAUGAUUUUUUUUUUCUUCUAAGCCUAUUUUUCACUGAUGUUUAGAACUCACUAAUUUUCUCUCUCCAGUGGUCUUAGUAGGUCAAAGCAUCAAACAAACAAACAAAAAAAAAGACAAAACUUUCAACUCUGUAAUGAAAAAAGCAUUUCUUGUUCUAAUCAUAUUAUCCUAACCCUUGCCUUUUAUUUGAAAGUGUUAGUUAAUACUGACUCAACAAGUUUGGCAAGUGUGGGGUUUUUUUCCCCUCUCACUUCGGGACCCUUCGAACUUUAACAAGAGAUUGUUCUAAUAACAGAACUCAAGGCAAAUUAAGUAUUUUGUGUUACUUCUCCAGUGAAGAAAAAAAUCUUACAUAUACUUUCAAGGUAGAAAUGGCGCCUCUACAGAAAUAAAAUUUUCUAUACAAAAAGACAAACAGAAAAAUCCUAUUACUUACUUGUUGACAAAGAUGAUUUUCAAAAACCUUAAGCCAAGAAACAUGAAUUUAGAUAAAUCUUUAUGUUCUCUUAAUUUUAAAAUUGCUUGCUACUUUAAAUAUCCUGCAUGAAAGAAACUGAAUAAAAGUAACAAAGUGAUGAAAGAAAGCCAAAAAUCAAGAACUGAAAACAAUUUAUAAAGCAAAGACUGAAUGACAAGUGCCAAAAACAGCUAAACAAGUUGGGGCAGUUUAAAGAAAAAUAAGACUAGUUUAAAAUUUUCUGAAACUAAAUCCAAGUAAGAGUUUUAAAGUUUGAUAUCAAUUAAAUCCUGCUAUAUACAUAAAAUUUUUAAAUCCUCAGCAAAUGCAAAUACGGGGAUUAAGCACGCUGAAAUCUGUUCUGGUAUGUAGUUUUCCAAUUCAAUUUUUUUAAUUAAAAAAUAAUAUUUUGGAAAAUAUUCGUUCAACUUUUUCAAUUUGUAUAGAGUCCUUACAAAUCACAAAAAAAGUGAGUGUUUGUACAUGAUUGAUUUCAAGACUUUAAAAAUAAAUAGUGGAAUUAAGUAUCACAAAGGCACUGCUGACAAUUUUUGUACUUUAUAGUUUCACUCUAAAAUACACCUCCAAAUCUAGAACUCCUGUCAGUGAAACAGAUUAGAGAACAGCAAUUGCUUCCAAAAGAAAAUAAAUUGAGGUUUCCUAAAUGAUGUUAAUUUCAAGUACAAUCUCAACCUCUUUAGACAAAGUAGAUACUCAAGUCUGUGCUAAUCAAUCGAUGGUGUUUUGCUUAUCAUUUGCAAAGCAAAAGGACACUUUCUCCAACUGAACACAAACCACCUAAGAAUGAAUGGUAUUUAAAUACCAGUACACAAUUCCAUGAAAUAAACCGAGUAAAUAAUACCUAUGUGAUAGUUCUUCCAAUACCUUGUUUUUAAAGUGGAACUCAAAAAUGGAAUAUGUCAGUAGCAACUACAAGAGGAUACUUAGUAAAUGAGUGAGGAUUCCAUCUAUGUUCUGUUUGACAGUUCUUUCAAGGAAAAGAGAAACUCCACAGCUUCAGAGUAAAUACACAAAUAGUAACUAAUGUAUUUUUGUAAAGUCUCCUUAUAACAAAUAACAAAAACACUAUUUACAAUGAAAACAUUCACUCUUCUGAAAACAUGACUAGCAGCGGAAUUUAUCUACCUGAUAAUAACCUGAGGAUAAGAAUAAUACACUUAUAAAUGGAUUAGAAGUACUAAAAAAUCUGACCCAGUUCAAGUUAUAAAUCUAAGUUUAAAUCACUAGGCUACAAUUUCAAGUCAGUUAUUAUUCUUUUGCAGAUGUAAAAAUCCAGGCUGAGAUGAAAUACAAGUGACUCAAUAACACUCACCUAACUUGAAAUGUAGGAAAUAAUCAGUGAAUUACUGUGAAAUGCCUUUUAUUCAAGCACGCUAUAAUAUAAACAUGUUAAGAGCAAAAUAAAAGUAAGAUUAUGGGUAUCUGGGGAGUCUAUAUUUUUAAACCAAAAAA
rnacentral:lncRNA from 1 species